GUUCCUACAUUUUGCUGUGCUUGGUAAGAGACAGUAGAGAACUGGCAAAGGCAGGAAUGCAAGGAAGACAGGACCAAGUCCUGGAAGAUCAAGUUCCUUCAUCCUGAUCAAAUUCACCCAUGAAACUCUAAGUCAUCAAACUGACUUCCCUGCAGAUUUAAAGAAGGAGCCAGCUUUCAUCUAUUUCAAAAGAAUUAACAGUACUUGGACUUCCAACACAAUGAUCCUCAAAGAGGCUGUGCACCCAGUUUAGUUAAAAAUACAAUAUGAGAGGGAGAGAACUAUGUCUAGAAUAAGUGCUAUUUUAAAAAUAGCAACAUGUAAUCCAAAAG